rnacentral:lncRNA from 1 species
UUAAAAGGUAGCCUGAAGACACCACAACGGAGAUAAUUAGGACUAUGUUGACAUAAAGCUUGAGAGAGAAUCACAAAAGAAAACAAUUGUAACAUUUUAUGGGAAAGUCAUCAUCUGAAAUUGGAGAAAUCCCACGAAUGAUACCAGCUGCAGUAUUAUCAAGGACAUUGUUCCUGGUCACAAAGGCAGCUUUCAAAGGCCAGAUCUUUCCCAGGGCUUAAGCUGUUCCUUGGAUACUUUUG